rnacentral:rRNA from 1 species
UACGUAGGGUGCGAGCGUUGUCCGGAAUUAUUGGGCGUAAAGAGCUUGUAGGCGGUCUGUCGCGUCUGCUGUGAAAAUCCGGGGCUCAACCCCGGACUUGCAGUGGGUACGGGCAGACUAGAGUGUGGUAGGGGAGACUGGAAUUCCUGGUGUAGCGGUGAAAUGCGCAGAUAUCGGGAGGAACACCGGUGGCGAAGGCGGUUCUCUGGGCCUUACCUGACGCUGAGGCGCGAAAGCAUGGGGAGCAAACAGG